AUGCAGCCAUGCCGCGUGUAUGAAGAAGGCCUUAGGGUUGUAAAGUACUUUCAGUCGGGAGGAAGGCGUUGAUAUUAAUACUAUCAACGAUUGACGUUACCGACAGAAGAAGCACCGGCUAACUCCGUGCCAGCAGCCGCGGUAAUACGGGGGGUGCAAGCGUUAAUCGGAAUUACUGGGCGUAAAGCGCACGCAGGCGGUUGAUUAAGUUAGAUGUGAAAUCCCCGGGCUUAACCUGGGAAUGGCAUCUAAAACUGGUCAGCUAGAGUCUAGUAGAGGGGGGUAGAAUUCCAUGUGUAGCGGUGAAAUGCGUAGAGAUGUGGAGGAAUACCGGUGGCGAAGGCGGCCCCCUGGACAAAGACUGACGCUCAGGUGCGAAAGCGUGGGGAGCAAACAGGAUUAGAUACCCUGGUAGUCCACGCUGUAAACGAUGUCGAUUUGGAGGUUGU
rnacentral:rRNA from 1 species